rnacentral:lncRNA from 1 species
AAAUCGCGUCCACUAAGUGGUGUCGUCUGCCUGCAAGACCUGCACAGCUCCCAGGCCUAUGGCUUUGGGCACCAGGUGCUGCGCCAGCGUCUGGAAAUGAUUAAUUCCUGGGCACACCUGCUGUGUGCCCAGCCCUGGGGCUGAGGACGGAGCCCUUUCCUGCCAUCAUGGAGCCUGCAUUGCACGGGGUGAGAUGCGUGAUAGAAGGACAUAUCCCACAUCACGUGCACUGAAGACAAAGCUGUGAAAGGAUAGAGUGUGGGGAGGGGCUUCUGUCUCAGAUGUGGAGGUCAGGGACGUCCUCCCCAGCGGGUGACUUUGGAGCAGGGGCCUGAGGGACGUGGGCAGCCCGGCAGACCCCUCAUUACAUGUGUUAAAGCCUCCUCCGGUGGGGGGCUGGGCAGAGGCUAUUGCAGUUGUCCAAACUUCCUGCAAUGGCAGAACAUUCUAGAUCCGCACUGUCCAGUAAGGUGGCCACGAGUCACACGUGACUGUCGAGCUCUGGAAAUGCAGCUGGUGCAGCUAAGGAGCUGAAUUUUAAAUUGUAUUUAAUUCUUGUCACUUUAAAUGUAAAUGUCUACCCAUGGCUAGCAGUGACAGGGCAGGCCCACCUGGCCUUGGCGAAGCAGGGUUCCCAUUCCACCGUGACCUGGCAGGAGAUGUCAGACCGCAGCUGAGGGCCCUGCUGGUUUCCUACGAGGAGGCUGCAGAUGGGAAUGAGGACCUCACGGUCAAGGGCGUGGACACCUCCCGCCUGACAGAUGACACAUUUGGACUCAGCGUCGCCACCUGGGAGUUGGGAUGGGGGCUCAGGCAGAGGCGCUGGUUCGUUGUCCCACAGAUCAAGCCUCUCUGAGUCCUCGGCUGUCUUGGUGGAGACUCCAAAGGUGAGGCCGGACUGCAUGUCCCAUGACCCUUCUCCACCGGGCAGGGCCAAGGACCCUGCAGCAAGGGCCCUUCAUGCCGGGCUCACCACCCUGUUCCCUCCAUGACCUCGCCAAAAGCCUCCCGCUCCCACCCCCGGCUUUGGGACGGUCAAACAGGUGAGGGCUGGGGGUCCUGCCCCGGGGGGAGGAUGACAGGCGACGGGAGGAGUGCCUGGCAUGGCCGAAGAGAACACGGCAGUGGGGUGUGUGUCAGCAGCAGUGGCACAGCCAAACCCCGGCAGGCUUCAUGCAGAAGGCGGCAUCUGGGGAGAAGUUAAAAGCUGAGCAGGAGCCAGCGGGUGAAGUGGGAAACGGAGAAAGGGCUAUAGCCUGUGCCCAGCUCUCCCUGUCAGCCUGAGAUGAGGGACAUCUUUUGUGUCCGGGCACUGCCUGGGUUGCUUGGACAGAAGCCUCAGAGCUGGAAGGAGCUGAGAAACCACAAGCUCCAAUGCUCACGCCCCAUAGGGGACCGAGGAACCGCAGAAGGGACCGCACCUGCCCGGUGGCCAGCAACGGAAGGACGGCAGGGAGCGAACACACUCCAGCCCCUACGGUCUCUCCGCUCUCCCAGCUGAGCUGUCUUCCCCGGAGGCCGGGCUGCAACCCGAGAAGGCGCCGCGCCAUCGGCCCUCACCCUGCUCCGCCUAAGCUGCUGCUUUUCCUCUGCAAAUGCCCUGGGCUGGACGUCAAACCACAGUCAGGUAGGGGCGGCCCAGACCAGGGACCAGCAGCUGGUUCCCUCUGCCUGGUCUCACUUCUAAAGCCACUGGAAGAGGAAACACAUAAAAUGUGACUUUGCAGAGGAAUUCCAAUAAACAAGAUGUGUUUCCAAGUCUUCUGAGGCUGCCGAGACUGAGUAGCUGCGUGUGAGCAGCCACAACUCCUCUGUUGUCCUCCUGCAAAGUGUCCCCGCCCUCCCACUCAGGUCGCGUUCCUCCGGCCGCCCCCGGCUGCUCCCGCCACAGGAGACUGGACGGUGGGCUCUGGCCUUGGGGACCUCCGGCCCUGCCUGCAGCAGGCCCCAGUGUGUGUGGGCGAGAGGGCCGGGCCAGCUGACUCCUGUCUUUCUUUGGGACCACGUCAUCAAGCGGGCUGGAGCCAGAGGCUGGGCCCCUCUGUGUCCCGGGGAUCCUCACCCCCCAGGUCCCCAGUGCUGUCCUUGUCACCACUGAACGGCAGUUUCUCCCCACCCCGUGCUUCAGUUUACCUGUCCGGACCAGGGGUGGCAACCUCUUUUCCAGAACGGGGCAGAAGGUGAAUGCAGUUCACUCUAGUUCUCUGCAUUGUGUCUUCUUUUUAAAGAAAAUAACCCUUUACAAAUGAAGGGUUGGCCGGGUGCAGUGGCUCACGCCUGUAAUCCCAGCACUUUAA